rnacentral:misc_RNA from 1 species
UGCCUAAGAACUGGUUGUUGAGAU